rnacentral:lncRNA from 1 species
CGCAAUCUUAUUUAAAUUUAAUUUUAGCAUGUUAUUAUUGAAAUUUUAAUCUAAAAUUUUAAAAAUUUAAAUUUCAAAUUUCAUAUUUCACAUUUCACAUUUCAAAUUUUAAAUUUCAAAUUAAAAUUUUAAUUUUAAUUUUGAAUUUUAAAUUUUGAGUUUCAAUUUUAAAUUAUACAUUUUAUAAUUUAUAAUUUAAAAUUUAUAAUUUUAUUCUAGA